UACAGAGGGUGCGAGCGUUAAUCGGAAUCACUGGGCUUAAAGCGUGUGUAGGCGGAAUGGUAAGUACCUUGUGAAAUCCCACGGCUCAACCGUGGAACUGCUUGGUAUACUGCUUUUCUUGAGCCACUUAGGGGCUGUCGGAACAAACGGUGGAGCGGUGAAAUGCGUAGAUAUCGUUUGGAACGCCAACGGUGAAAACAGACAGCUGGGAGUGUGCUGACGCUGAGACACGAAAGCCAGGGGAGCGAACGGG
rnacentral:rRNA from 1 species